rnacentral:tRNA from 1 species
AUCUAAAUAGUUUAAUUGAGAAUGAUAAUUUGUGGUAUUAUAGGUGUAAUUUUACUUUAGAUU